GAAACCCUAGUUAUAAGAAAAGAGAACUUAGGUUUUUUUUUUUUUAUCCCGAAACCCUUCUCCUCACCUCACGCGAGCGUCGGCGAUUCUCCUCUCAGGCGAAGACGCGGCUAGAAGCUAGGGUUUCUCCGGCGGCCGGCGAGGGUUUCUCUGAGGGGCUCUUCACGGGGUUGUGAUCCUUUCGUCGAGGAGGACCCGUGAGCACGAAGAGGAGGCCAAGAUCUCAGCCAACCGAAACCUUAGAGCUCUUCUCCUUCGGUUUGAAUCCAAGAAUCAUUAUAAAGGAAAGGAAAAGAUUUCGCAAAGGAAGGCGACGAGGUGGCGCGGAUGGUGUGUGAUGCAAGGACUAUGGAAGACAUUUGGGACGUUAUUAAGUUUUCCGUAUUUUAGUAAUUAAUAAACAUUUGGAGUUGUAUUUUAAGUUCAUGUCAGUUGAGAUUAUUUUUGUUUAGAUUGCAUGGAGAUGAGUUAUGUUUAAUAAGUAGAUAUUUUGAUGUUUGUCACUUA